UACGUAGGGUGCAAGCGUUGUCCGGAAUUAUUGGGCGUAAAGAGCUCGUAGGCGGCUUGUCGCGUCGGUUGUGAAAGCCCGGGGCUUAACUCCGGGUCUGCAGUCGAUACGGGCAGGCUAGAGUGUGGUAGGGGAGAUCGGAAUUCCUGGUGUAGCGGUGAAAUGCGCAGAUAUCAGGAGGAACACCGGUGGCGAAGGCGGAUCUCUGGGCCAUUACUGACGCUGAGGAGCGAAAGCGUGGGGAGCAAACAGG
rnacentral:rRNA from 1 species